AAGGAUUUAAGUUAAAUAAACUAAUAGCCUUCAAAGCUAUAAAUAGAAUGUAAGUCUAAGCCUUA
rnacentral:tRNA from 1 species